UGGGGAAUAUUGGACAAUGGGCGAAGGCCUGAUCCAGCCAUGCCGCGUGUGUGAAGAAGGUCUUCGGAUUGUAAAGCACUUUAAGUUGGGAGGAAGGGCAUUAACCUAAUACGUUAGUGUUUUGACGUUACCGACAGAAUAAGCACCGGCUAACUCUGUGCCAGCAGCCGCGGUAAUACAGAGGGUGCAAGCGUUAAUCGGAAUUACUGGGCGUAAAGCGCGCGUAGGUGGUUUGUUAAGUUGGAUGUGAAAUCCCCGGGCUCAACCUGGGAACUGCAUUCAAAACUGACUGACUAGAGUAUGGUAGAGGGUGGUGGAAUUUCCUGUGUAGCGGUGAAAUGCGUAGAUAUAGGAAGGAACACCAGUGGCGAAGGCGACCACCUGGACUAAUACUGACACUGAGGUGCGAAAGCGUGGGGAGCAAACA
rnacentral:rRNA from 1 species